rnacentral:tRNA from 1 species
GGAGGUGUCGCAUAGUGGUCUAGUGCGCAGUCCUGGAAAGACUGUGUGCCGCAAGGCACCGGAAGUUCGAAUCUUCCCACCUCCGCCA